rnacentral:rRNA from 1 species
CGGCAACAGCUCAAAUUUGAAAUCUGGCCCUCGUGGUCCGAGUUGUAAUUUGCAGAGGAUGCUUUGGGCGCGGUGCCUUCCGAGUUCCCUGGAACGGGACGCCAUAGAGGGUGAGAGCCCCGUCUGGUUGGAUACCAAGCCUGUGUAAAGCUCCUUCGAC